rnacentral:pre_miRNA from 1 species
UAGCAGCACGUAAAUAUUGGUGUAGUAAAGAUAAUCUUAACACCAAUAUUAUUGUGCUGCUUAA